rnacentral:rRNA from 1 species
ACGCUGGCGCGUGCUUAACACAUGCAAGUCGAACGGUGACCCAGGGCUUGCCCUGGUGAUCAGUGGCGAACGGGUGAGUAACACGUGGGCAACCUGCCCCUGACUUCGGGAUAACUCCUCGAAAGAGGAGCUAAUACCGGAUACGACCACUUCGGACAUCCGAUGGUGGUGGAAAGUUCUUCGGUCAGGGAUGGGCCCGCGGCCUAUCAGCUAGUUGUGGGGUAAUGGCCUACCGAGGCGACGACGGGUAGCCGGCCUGAGAGGGCGACCGGCCACACUGGGACUGAGACACGGCCCAGACUCCUACGGGAGGCAGCAGUGGGGAAUAUUGCGCAAUGGGCGAAAGCCUGACGCAGCGACGCCGCGUGAGGGAUGAAGGCCUUCGGGUUGUAAACCUCUUUCAGCAGGGACGAAGCGAAAGUGACGGUACCUGCAGAAGAAGCACCGGCUAACUACGUG